rnacentral:rRNA from 1 species
GACGAACGCUGGCGGCGUGCCUAAUACAUGCAAGUCGAGCGGAACUGGGGGAGCUUGCUCCUUCCAGUUUAGCGGCGGACGGGUGAGUAACACGUGGGCAACCUGCCCUGCAGAUCGGGAUAACUCCGGGAAACCGGUGCUAAUACCGAAUAGUUUGGCGCCUCUCCCGAGGCGCUACGGAAAGACGGUUUCGGCUGUCACUGCAGGAUGGGCCCGCGGCGCAUUAGCUAGUUGGUGGGGUAACGGCCCACCAAGGCGACGAUGCGUAGCCGACCUGAGAGGGGGACAGGCCACACUGGGACUGCGACACGGCCCAGACUCCUACGGGAGGCAGCAGUAGGGAAUCUUCCGCAAUGGACGCAAGUCUGACGGAGCAACGCCGCGUGAGUGACGAAGGUUUUCGGAUCGUAAAACUCUGUUGUGAGGGAAGAACACGUACCAACUAACUAUUGGUACCUUGACGGUACCUCACCAGAAAGCCACGGCUAACUACGUGCCAGCCGCCGCCGUAA